GUAAGUAUAGCUCAAUGGUAGAGCACAUGCUUAGCAUGCACAAGGUCCUGGGUUCAAUCCUUAGUAUCUCCA
rfam:Camelus ferus unplaced genomic scaffold scaffold1127, whole genome shotgun sequence.